rnacentral:rRNA from 1 species
UACGAAGGUGGCAAGCGUUGUUCGGAUUUACUGGGCGUACAGGGAGCGUAGGCGGUUGGAUAAGCCCUCCGUGAAAUCUCCAGGCUUAACCUGGAAAGUGCAGAGGGGACUGUUCAGCUAGAGGAUGGGAGAGGAGCGCGGAAUUCCCGGUGUAGCGGUGAAAUGCGUAGAGAUCGGGAGGAAGGCCGGUGGCGAAGGCGGGUCUCUGGGCCGAAACUGACGCUGAGGAGCGAAAGCGUGGGGAGCAAACAGG